rnacentral:misc_RNA from 1 species
AGAAGCUAGCGGCCGUGACGGCAGGCACGGAAAACACCACCGUUCAAGUCAAGAACGUCGAACGGAGUCUGGCUGAUCUCAAAGGCAUCAUGGACGAACUUCAGGCGCGGGUACUGGCUGGCGAGUUCGGACGAGCGGUGAGCGGGUUAG